rnacentral:lncRNA from 1 species
GCAUGAAUAGAUCUUAGUUCAUAGCUGCUUAUUACUGUUAAUGCUUUCAAUUCCAUAUACAUAUCUAUCUGUGCCUGCUUAAACCUAGUGGGGAGAUCGGCGGAGUCGGCAGCCGAACCCACUGGGAACUAUUCGUAGUUCUCACUCCACCAUGUUGCAGGUCCGAGCUCGAGCGCCCCCGGUGAGGAUUGCGGUAAGGGCGUAGCGCCCUAGUGGUAUUAGUAGAGGUUUACUUCCUUUUGCAUUAGUUACACCCUG